GUUUACGGCCAUACCAGCCUGGGUACGCCAGAUCUCGUCUAAUCUCGGAAGCUAAGCAGGGUCGGGCCUGGUUAUGGAUGGGAGACCGCCUGGGAAUACCAGGUGCUGUAAGCU
rnacentral:rRNA from 1 species